GGCUGAAAUUCGCCUUCAUGAAGCUGGAAUUGCUAGUAAUGGCAGGUCAGCAUACUGCCGUGAAUACGUUCCCGGGCCUUGUACACACCGCCCGUCACACCAUGAGAGUUGGGAAUACCCGAAGCCUGUGAGCUAACUUAUAGAGGCAGCAGUCGAAGGUAGAAUCAAUGAUUGGGGUGAAGUCGUAACAAGGUAGC
rnacentral:rRNA from 1 species